GUCUUUUUGCCAUUUCUAGGGCCACUCCUGCAGCAUAUGGAGGUUCCUAAGCUAGGGGUCUAAUCGGAGCUGUAGCUGCCAGCCUACGCCAGAGCCACAGCAAUGUGGGAUCCGAGCCACGUCUGCGACCUACACCACAGCUCACAGCAAUGCUGGAUCCUUAACCCACUGAGCAAGGCCAGGGAUCAAAAUGGACAGCUCAUGGAUACUAGUCGGAUUCAUUAACCACUGAGUCAUGAUGGGAACUCCCUGAACAAAUUCUAUAAAAUCUGUACUCUUUGUCACAUGUGGCUACUGAAGUGUCUGCUUGCUUUGCUUAGCAGUCAGCUAAUAGCUGGACAAUUUGGACAGAGAUUUCCUUGAAUAAGUCAAGGAAACAAUAAGUCUCUCAGACUUUGCUGAAGGGGCAUCAGGGCUCCCUUCAACUCUGCCUUGGCCUUCAAUUCUUCCUUGUACAGAGUUCAAGGUCAGCCCGAGGUUAGGGGUUAGGGCCUUCUCAGACUUUUCCUGGGUGUGUGCCCACCCUUGUGCAUACACGUGGCUUUCUAGAUUCCCAGCAGUGAGCUGACACUUCCUGCUCUGAUGCCUGUCAAGUUGCUGUUUUUCAUGGCUAUUGCGACCGGCAUGCACUGAUUUUCAGGCCACUACGCUGUUGGGAGGAGGGAUGGAGUAGGCAAGUUAAGAUACUGUAAAGCUCCCGGUUCCAAGGACUCAGCCAUUUGAUUGAACUAACUAUUUUCAAAUUGUUGGAGGCCUUAGAUGAAUUUCCAGAGUUCUAAAAAAAAGGUGGGUUUUGACACGUUCUGCAAGCAUUCUUGCUUUUGUGGAGCAGCAGGGUUUGGGAGGUCCUAACUCCACCAUCCCGGGAAAUGCUUUUCUUCAGUCUUUAAAAAUUUCUCUCUCAGUUGAAGUAAAACCUGACAACCUUCCUUGCAAUAUCUGUGAGCUGCCGGGUGGGUUUUGUUCGCAUCUGUUCCCUUCAGUGAGGGUGUGUGGGGACCACGGCUUUAUGCAGAAGCGUCGGUCCAAACACGUGCCCCUUAGGUGCCUACAGGCUUCCCCCCUCCUGGGAGCCCAUUUCGAGGCCUUUUACACCAAGACCAGCAUCUGGGAGCCAGCCCUGGGGCCGCCCCAGCGUUAGCUCACUUUGGUGACCAUCUGGGGUUGUGUUGCUCAUCUGGGGCCCCUGAAAAUUUCCACUACUCCUCUGCAAGCUCAGCUCUCCAUCUAAAAGGUGUGCAUCUUACGUGCCUGGCAUUUCUAAGCUGUAUUUUUUUUUUUUUAAGCAGGAGUGUUCUCAGGUUAUCAUGACCGGACUCUUCCCGGGAAAAAGGGACACCCUCUAGGUAAACACUCACAUAAACACACACGUCUAGCUAACGGAACGCAACAGGGAGAAGCAAGGACCGCCCAGAAGCCGUGGUGAAGACGGACAGCAUGAGGGUCUUGCAAGCAGAGGAGCGAGUCUGACCUGGGCCCACGGGUCUCCAGGACCGCUUCGUCCACCUCUGGCCCCCACUGGAGGCUUAAUGUGGGGGAGGGAGUGUUGAGGGUGCAGCUACAGCCAGGACUAAGGGACCCUCUGUAGGCCCAGACUCUCUGUCCACCCACGCAGGGACCUAGUCUUCCUGCAGCAGCAGCCAGGAGCCUCCGGGACAUCCUAAGGCCCCAGGAACCUCCUCCUGGCAGCACUCAGAACUAGUGGCAGGUGCAUAGACCAAAGUUCUGUGGGAAGAAUGUCUGCUCACUACAGCAGGUGCCAGGAGAUGUUCAAGGAAGAGUUAGAGACUGAAUGUUUGUCCCCCGGCCCCAAAACAAAGCAGCAUAUGGUGGGAUCCGAAACCCCCUGGGAUGGCAUCGGAAUGCGAGGUCUCUGGGAGGUCAUGAGGUCAUGAGGGUUGAAGGUGCAGCUCGGAUCCAGUGUUGCCGUGGCUGUGGUGUAGGACUGCAGCGGUAGCUCCGAUUCAACCCCUAGCCCGGGAACUUCCUAUGCCACGGGCGCAGCCAUAAACAUUUUUAAAAAGGGGACUCCAGAGAGCUCUCCCACCUCCUCCUCCACGUGAGGGCGCAGGGAGAAGGCGGUCUGUGACCCAGGCGGUGUGUCCUCACCCGACACCGAAUCUGCGGACACCUUGACCUCGGCCUCAGACUGUGCAGAUUGCUGGCCGGGAGGCUCCCUGGACGGUACAUGAAGUCAAGGGCAACUGGAAGCAAUGCUCUGGAGAAGGAGGCUGCCCGGAUCUGGAUGGUGUGGCACGUGGGAGGACCGGAGGAUCCAUGGUCAGAGGCGACGUGGUCCACGACUCCUUAGUGGGAUUUGAUCGCAAGGAGCAGGUGCAAAGACGUGUGUACUGGGAUGCCCACCGCAGCGCUGGCCGUCACUGCAGGAAGUUACCCACUCUCUGGAGGCCAAGUGGAUCACUUCAGGUAAGCCCACACUCAGAAAACCCCGCAUUUGCCCGUCAUUCUGCGGAGAUGUUCGUGGGCUCCUGCGAGGUGACAGUGAAUCGGGAGGGUGUUCACGUGGGGUCCUGCCGCCUGGCUCCCUUCCAGCUCAGCCACAGGUCAGGGGGCCCGAUCCAGGGCAUUAGAGCCACCUGACAAAGCUGCAGACCUUGGGCUGUUUCAGAGGGGCCCCUGGGCUUUCUGGGGACAUCAAGCUUUCCCUGUGCCCCGUCUCCAGCAGCCACUCUGCCGCAAUCUUGGGGGAGGACCCUGGCUGUGGCUGCAUGCACAGGGCGGGGGCUGAAGGCGAGGGGACCUGAGCCCUGGAGUUCGGCCCACAGCUCAGUCUCCUGGCUGCCCCCACCCAGUGACCCCAAGCCCGCCACCUGCAACCGCAUCCCCUGGCGGUGGGUGUGCUGCUCCCCACCCCAUCCCCAACACAGACCUCUGUAAUCGACCAGGUCGAGGCUGAGGGGGAAAUGCCGCAAGUCAGAGAGCCAGUGUGUGGGGUGAGCAGACAACUGGGGGGUGACAUGGCUCCUGUCCCAGGGCCCCCGCUCCAUGCUGCUCCUUCCCCGCGCCAUGCUGGAAACUGCUGCCUUGUCCCUGGGGUCUCAGCUCACUGGUGACACCCUGACCACGGGAUUUAACCCGUCCUUCAGCCCAGUCUGUCCAUUUCUUCACAGCACACUCCUGCUCUGACACCCUCUGGACGGGUAGUUGUCAUCCCCCUCCCCCGCCCAGUGUCCCCAGCUCACUCAGCCCCACUGGAGACCAGGCCCUCGGGAGAGUUGGGGGAUGGUGGAGGGUGUGGGGGACCCCGGCCUCGCCCCCACUGUCUUUUCAACAACAUCCCUGAGGCCUCGGCCACCGGAGGACGCAGGCAGGGAAGGAGGUUGGUCCUGCGCUGUGGGCCAGAUGGGGAGCAGUGCUGUCCCCGCGUGCAGACCCGGUCCUGGGCACCCGGCCUCCGCCUCGCUCCCGGGCCUCUCGGUCGGCGUGGCCAGCUAACCGAGCUUGCUGAUAGCUUGGGAACGUGGUGAUAAGGGCUGAGCAUGGGGAAUGGUUACCUCCUGGCUCUUGUGAGAAUCACCAGGGUGGCUGUUUCAAGUGUCUGCCCCCAAUUUUCCAGCGGUCCCUCCCUUGGGAGUCUGGGCAGACAGGCAGGGGCGCGGCGGCGAAGGGGGCCGCUUUCCAUUUUUAGGUUGAAUUCCUUUCUGGAAAGCUGCAGGCAUGUCUCUGGCAUGAGUGCCCCGGGGCUGGGGGUGUGCAGCACUCUCCCUGGCCGGGCCCCCUGUGGCUCACGUUCCUCCUUGUCUGCCUCCUUCAGCCGGGAACGGGUGAGUGCCUGGACCCCAGGGUGCCCUGCGUUUGAGGCUCCCAUGAGGGAAACACCAGCCACGAACAUCCCACACCACGGAGCUCAGGACCGCCAGCAAGUGCCUGAGGUGGGCACAUGCAGGUGGGAUGGCUGGGUUCGCAAACGCAAAAUCAGGAUGCCCAGUGAGAUCUGAAUUUCAGAGAAACGGGGAGUGCUUCGUGCCAGCGAGCCCCCCGGCGUGCGCAGUCCCGCCUCGCCAGCGGAGGCUGAUGUCAGAGAAGCUGCCCCUGGGCACGCUGGGUAAGUGGCCACACGGGUGAACGCUGGGGGGCAAGCUCAGGGGAUGCCCCCAAAGGCGUGGCUCUAGAUGCACUGUCCAGAGACUGCCACGGGCGCCAGCCUGAACCCGCAAGUCCAGCCACGCAGCCACCAGCCGCAUGUGGCUACUGCCCACUGGCCUGGGGCACUGAGCCUUUCAUUCUACUGUGUGUCAGGGGACAUGGUCACAGGAGGCUGUGGCCAAGUCACUGGGCAGCACAGGUGUAGGGGUGGUCCCGGAGGCCCCUCUGAGCUUUUGUGCAGACAUCUGGAAAUCUGGAGGAAAUUAUCUCCCAACUGGGGAGAUGAAGCCCCCCCCAACCCUGAGGAACUGGGGGAAGGCCAGUGAGGGGACCAGGGGGCAGGGGAGGGAGACAGGAGGGGACAGCAGGCAGGUCCAGCCCCCCUCAGGCCACUGGACACAGUCUGGACGUGCAUUCUAUUCCUAGUAAUGGGUCAAGCGGUAACUCCACAAGCUGUUCUGGGCAUUUUCACCGUCCUUCCGGCUGUGGCUUCGCCCUGCCUGUCUGGUGCAGCGGGUUUGAUUGAUUGCUUGCUGUGCCCACCGACCCAGCUGCCGUGUCCUGAUCCCCGAGAUGGUCGUCAGCCUGAAAGUCCCAGAGAAGGGGACUUGGGGAGGAGGUUUCUUGGCACCAGGCCAGGAAACCCCAGGGGUGGGAGGCGCCAGGCUCUCUGCUCAGACCCCCCACCCACCCCCCGCCCCCCGCCAGACUGCAGACCCUCCAUUCUGCUCUGCGCUGGGCAGCUCCUCCCAGGUACCCUGGAAGGUCUCCCUCUUGACAGGGUGACAGCGGUUAAAUCUCGUCCCCAGCCUGACACCCUGUAUCUGUUGCCAGUUACAGGAUCUGACACUGCUGGGGGACAGUGAGUCGAUGCAAUGAGUCUGAGAGACAGCCUCCCUCCUAGCCCAGGAUGCUGCAAGGCCUCUGCCACCCGAGCCGGGGGUGGACUCUGAAACGAGACGUGGCCUCUUUGAAAAGGAAGUUCUUUAAAUUCUCU
rnacentral:lncRNA from 1 species